ensembl:lncRNA
GGAGAGUGUCCUGAGCUCCGGUCCGUGUGAAGGCGGGACAGAUGUGGGGGAAUGAAACCAUGUGAGUACAAACCCCGCAGCAAGGGAGGGAGCAGUGGAAGGCUGCUGGGCUGCAGCAGUGAGAUGCUGGCAGCCUGGGGAGGUUGUGAUGGAGACGGAGGAGUCGGCUGUGAGCAAUGCUGGCUGCUCCCGUGGCUUCCAAGGAUGAAUGAAUAGGAUUUGCCAGGUCUGGGAACAGAGUGGAGGCAUUUAGCAAAGGAACGACACCAAAGCCUAAAUUUAGUGCCCUGUGUUUGUGAGCAAUCUGCAAUUAGCAAACAAUGAAGCUGAGCAUGUGAUGGCUGCAGAGAAAGGAGCUGUGCUAGACAGCCUUUCUUCUUGCAGAAGAGCGUGGAUUUUGUACGGAGGAUGGUUCUGAAUGUCAAGACUGACGUUUUCUCAACCUGAACACAGCACCGCACACCGGCCUUGCUCUGGUUCCCACCGGCCCCAGCUACUCCACAUCCCAGGUGCCACGCACGAGCCAAAGACACAGCCCAAGGAUGAAGUAAUGGGAGCUGACCUGCAGCCUGCAACGUGAUCGGGGCAGUACAGAGCAGCAUCGGGUGAAUUGAACACAGAGAGGUGCGAGCAGAGCUGACCGUGCACCGGGCUGCACCAGCCUUCCUGCUGUUCCUCGAAAAACUCCCAGCCACAUACUGGCAUGAACAGAUCCCACUCAGUUCUUGGCAUUUAGCACGCUCACAGGCUGCAGUGAUUCAUAGAAAGCUCCUUGUUCUGGCCCUGGAAUGAGCGUACAUGUUUCAGAGCCUUUUUUUCAUGCAGCUAUGCUGCAGUCUCCUAAAAAUGCAUGUGCAGGCAGAUCGUUCUGCAGAUCCUAUGGCAACGGGCUGCACGGCGGCUGGCUGGCUGCAUGACAAUGUGCAAGGCUUGUGCAUGGAGAAACACCACGCUCACAGGGAGAAAACUUCCUAGGAAUAUUAGUAUGCAGCACCCACUGCCAAGAUAUCAUAGCAAUCCAGCAAGAUCUGACUGCUCAGAAUUAUUAUUCAUGUACAGUGGAAUAUGUAUUUUUUUUUUAAGCAGCAUUGUAAAUUAAUGCCAGCAAAACGUAAUUUGUAAUUUAAAUGUAAAUCAGAAUUGAGUAAGGAUAUAAUGAAGCUCCGAAUGCCUCGGUGGUAUUUGCUAACCCGUCUGUUUUGUGGUGCUUUUUUCACCAAGAUGUUAAAGUUCAUUGUUCAUGCUGAAUACCUCCAAGUGUGUUAUCUGUAUACGUGUGCAGUAAAUACAUACAUAAUAACGAAA